UACAGAGGGUGCAAGCGUUAAUCGGAAUUACUGGGCGUAAAGCGUGCGUAGACGGUUACAUAAGUCGGGUGUGAAAGCCCCGGGCUCAACCUGGGAAUUGCAUUCGAGACUGCGUAGCUAGGGUGCGGAAGAGGGAAGCGGAAUUUCCGGUGUAGCGGUGAAAUGCGUAGAGAUCGGGAGGAACACCAGAGGCGAAAGCGGCAUCCUGGGCCGGGCCUGACGCUGAGGCGUGAAAGCGUGGGGAGCGAACCGG
rnacentral:rRNA from 1 species